rnacentral:rRNA from 1 species
UGCGUAGGUGGUUUCUUAAGUCAGAGGUGAAAGGCUACGGCUCAGCCGUAGUAAGCCUUUGAAACUGGGAAACUUGAGUGCAGGAGAGGAGAGUGGAAUUCCUAGUGUAGCGGUGAAAUGCGUAGAUAUUAGGAGGAACACCAGUUGCGAAGGCGGCUCUCUGGACUGUAACUGACACUGAGGCACGAAAGCGUGGGGAGCAAACA